UGUAUUUAUCAUCAAAGGAGAAAACAAAAUAAAGCAGAGAACAUGGAAAAUACAGUCUAUGAAGAUCCUCAGGCUGUGAAUACAGACCUCCCUCUGCAGCAGAGACCAACAAAUGUUGCCCCAGCUGGUCCUCUACCCGACAUCUACUCCUUGUUGGGGCCUCCCAUCGUCUCUGAAGCACCCACUCAGCCCAGAGACAACGCUCAGCCAGAGAGCCUGUAUGCAACGGUAGAAAAACUUCCAAAGUCCUGAAACAGUUCACUAUGAUGUCUUCAACACACUUCUCUGUGUGGAAUGACCACUUUAGUUUAGUUUAGUUUAGUAUCAGUGAAGGACUUCUGACUGCGUCUUCUUUUUCUGUGCGUCGGUCGUUGACUAGCUACUUGAGUCAUGCAAUGAAGUUAAAAGACCCAACUACAGUCAGAUUGCUGAUUUUAUUAUGAAUUAUAACAACAAUCACCUUCUGACUGGAAUCAUUUGCCAGAUAACCUGUGAACAAUUAACUCUUUUCAUACCUUUUCUGCUUCUGAUUGUACAGUAAUCUUUGUAAUUACCAUCAUUAGUGUCAAUACUUACAAUGUUAUUAGUUAAAUGUGAUGUGAAAUCUC